GAUGAACGCUAGCGGCAGGCUUAAUACAUGCAAGUCGUGGGGCAGCAGGUUUGUAGCAAUACAGAUGCUGGCGACCGGCAAACGGGUGCGGAACACGUACAGAACCUUCCUUUGAGCGGGGAAUAGCCCAGAGAAAUUUGGAUUAAUACCCCAUAGUAUAAUGAAGUGGCAUCACUUUAUUAUUAAAGAUUUAUCACUCGAAGAUGGCUGUGCGGCUGAUUGGGUAGUUGGCGGGGUAAAGGCCCACCAAGCCUGCGAUCAGUAACUGGUGUGAGAGCACGACCAGUCACACGGGCACUGAGACACGGGCCCGACUCCUACGGGAGGCAGCAGUAAGGAUAUUGGUCAAUGGAGGCAACUCUGAACCAGCCAUGCCGCGUGGAGGAUGAAGGUCCUCUGGAUUGUAAACUUCUUUUAUAUGGGACGAAAAAAGGCUUUUCUAAGUCGUCUGACGGUACCAUAUGAAUAAGCACCGGCUAACUCCGUGCCAG
rnacentral:rRNA from 1 species